CCUACGGGGGCAGCAGUGGGGAAUAUUGCACAAUGGGCGGAAGCCUGAUGCAGCGACGCCGCGUGAGGGAUGACGGCCUUCGGGUUGUAAACCUCUUUCAGCUCCGACGAAGCGCGAGUGACGGUAGGAGCAGAAGAAGCGCCGGCCAACUACGUGCCAGCAGCCGCGGUAAGACGUAGGGCGCAAGCGUUGUCCGGAUUUAUUGGGCGUAAAGCGCGUGUAGGCGGCUUUGCAAGUCGGGUGUGAAAGCCCUCAGCUCAACUGAGGAAGUGCGCCCGAAACUGCAGAGCUUGAGUGCCGGAGAGGGUGGCGGAAUUCCCCAAGUAGAGGUGAAAUUCGUAGAUAUGGGGAGGAACACCGGUGGCGAAGGCGGCCACCUGGACGGUAACUGACGCUGAGACGCGAAAGCGUGGGGAGCAAACAGGAUUAGAUACCCUUGU
rnacentral:rRNA from 1 species